rnacentral:rRNA from 1 species
UAUCAAUAAGCGGAGGAAAAGAAACCAACAGGGAUUGCCCCAGUAACGGCGAGUGAAGCGGCAACAGCUCAAAUUUGAAAUCUGGCUCUCGGGCCCGAGUUGUAAUUUGUAGAGGAUGCUUUUGGUGAGGUGCCUUCCGAGUUCCCUGGAACGGGACGCCAUAGAGGGUGAGAGCCCCGUCUGGUUGGACACCGAUCCUCUGUAAAGCUCCUUCGACGAGUCGAGUAGUUUGGGAAUGCUGCUCUAAAUGGGAGGUAUAUGUCUUCUAAAGCUAAAUACCGGCCAGAGACCGAUAGCGCACAAGUAGAGUGAUCGAAAGAUGAAAAGAACUUUGAAAAGAGAGUUAAAAAGUACGUGAAAUUGUUGAAAGGGAAGCGCUUGUGACCAGACUUGGGCUUGGUUGAUCAUCCGGGGUUCUCCCCGGUGCACUCUUCCGGCUCAGGCCAGCAUCAGUUCGCCCUGGGGGAUAAAGGCUUCGGGAAUGUGGCUCUCUCCGGGGAGUGUUAUAGCCCGCUGCGUAAUACCCUGUGGCGGACUGAGGUUCGCGCAUUCGCAAGGAUGCUGGCGUAAUGGUCAUCAGUGACCCGUCUUGAAAACACGGACCA